rnacentral:tRNA from 1 species
GGGCCCGUAGCUCAGUUGGUAGAGCACUUGUUUUGCAUACAAGGGGUCAGCGGUUCGAAUCCGCUCGGGUCCACCA